GAUUCCGGCGCGGUGAUCGCCGUGCUGGAGAGCCAAACUCACCCUUUUUAAAAACUAAAGCCAUUUUUCAACAUCCAUUUUCGUUUUAAAGCCAAAUCCGAACUUGAAUCGAGCAAAAACACAACAAGAAGGAGUAUAUCUAAAGAUUAAAACACAAACGAAAUUUUCUUUGCUUCACUUACUGUUGAGCCGGUUCGCUCCUCUUCUUCCCUCGCGUUUUCUUCUUCUUCGAUCCAGUGGCGCUAUGUUGAUUGCUAUAUGUUACUGUUUC
rnacentral:lncRNA from 1 species